rnacentral:tRNA from 1 species
GCGCAGCUGGUUGAGCGGCCGCAUCCAGCGGCGUGCGGCGGCGCAAAGACGCGCCUGUUCAAUGUCGGGUACGGCGCGC